GUGGAGGGGACCGGUCUACAGCGGAGGAGGAGAUGGCAUAGUGGCAGGGCAGUAAAGGGGACAGGGCUGCAGUGGAGAAGGUGAUGGCAGGAACGUAGAGGGGACAGGACUGCAGCGGAGGAGGUGAUGGCAUAGUGGCAGGGCAGUGGAGGGGGCAGGACUGUAGUGGAUGAGGUGAGGGCAUAGUGGCAGGGCAGUGGAGGGGGCAGGACUACAGCGGAGGAGGUGAGGGCAUAGUGGCAGAGCAGUAAAGGGGACAGGACUGCAGUGGAGAAGGUGAUGGCAGAACAGUAGAGGGGACAGGACUGCAGCAGAGGAGGUGAUGGCAUAGUGGCAGGGCAGUGGAGGGGACAGGACAGCAGCGGAAGAGGUGAUGUCAUAGUGGAGGAGGUACAAGCAUAGUGGCAGGGCAGUGUAGGGGAUAGGACGGCAGCAGAAGAGGUGAUGGCAUAGUGGCAGGGCAGUGGAGGGGACAGGACGGCAGCGGAGGAGGUGAGGGCAUAGUGGCAGGGCAGUGGAGGGGACAGGACGGCAGCGGAGGAGGUGAGGGCAUAGUGGCAGGGCAGUGGAGGGGGCAGGACUGCAGUGGAGGAGGUGAGGGAAGAGUGGCAGGGCAGUGGAGGGGACAGGACUGCAGCAGAGGAAGUGAUGGCAUAGUAGCAGGGCAGUGGAGGGGGCAGGACUGCAGUGGUGGAGGUGAGGGCAUAGUGGCAGGGUAGU